GGGCUGGGGCUCAGGGGUAGUGCACUUGCCUAGCAUGUGUGAGGCCCUGAGUUCGAUUCUCAGCACCACG
rnacentral:tRNA from 1 species